GAUGAAGAACGUAGCGAAAUGCGAUAAGUAAUGUGAAUUGCAGAAUUCAGUGAAUCAUCGAAUCUUUGAACGCACAUUGCGCCCGCUAGUAUUCUGGCGGGCAUGCCUGUCCGAGCGUCAUUUCAACCCUCAAGCCCCCGGGCUUGGUGUUGGGGAUCGGCGAGCCUCCGCGCCCGCCGUCCCCUAAAUCUAGUGGCGGUCUCGCUGUAGCUUCCUCUGCGUAGUAGCACACCUCGCACUGGGAAACAGCGCGGCCACGCCGUUAAACCCCCAACUUCUGAACGAUUGACCUCGGAUCAGGUAGGAAUACCCGCUGAACUUAAGCAUAUCAAUAAGCGGAGGA
rnacentral:misc_RNA from 1 species